ACACUAUCGUUAACUGAAUACAUAGGUUAACGAGGCGAACCGGGGGAACUGAAACAUUUAAGUACCCAGAGGAGAAGAAAGCAACCUAGAACGCCCUCGUAGCCGCGAGCGAACGGGGAGGAGCCCAGAGUCUGAAUCAGUUUGUGUGUUAGAGGAACGGUCUGGAAAGUCCGACGGUACAGGGUGAUAGUCCCGUACACCAAAAUGCACAGGUUGUGAACUCGAAGAGUAGGGCGGGACACGUGGUAUCCUGUCUGAAUAUGGGGGGACCAUCCUCCAAGGCUAAAUACUCCUGACUGACCGAUAGUGAACCAGUACCGUGAGGGAAAGGCGAAAAGAACCCCGGCGAGGGGAGUGAAAAAGAACCUGAAACCGUGUACGUACAAGCAGUGGGAGCCUCUUAAUGGGGUGACUGCGUACCUUUUGUAUAAUGGGUCAGCGACUUAUAUUCUGUAGCAAGGUUAACCGAAUAGGGGAGCCGAAGGGAAACCGAGUCUUAACUGGGCGUUAAGUUGCAGGGUAUAGACCCGAAACCCGGUGAUCUAGCCAUGGGCAGGUUGAAGGUUGGGUAACACUAACUGGAGGACCGAACCGACUAAUGUUGAAAAAUUAGCGGAUGACUUGUGGCUGGGGGUGAAAGGCCAAUCAAACCGGGAGAUAGCUGGUUCUCCCCGAAAGCUAUUUAGGUAGCGCCUCGUGAAUUCAUCUCCGGGGGUAGAGCACUGUUUCGGCAAGGGGGUCAUCCCGACUUACCAACCCGAUGCAAACUGCGAAUACCGGAGAAUGUUAUCACGGGAGACACACGGCGGGUGCUAACGUCCGUCGUGAAAAGGGAAACAACCCAGACCCACAGCUAAGGUCCCAAAUUCACUGCUAAGUGGAAAACCAUGUGGAAAGGCACAGACAGCCAGGAGGUUGGCUUAGAAGCAGCCACCCUUUAAAGAAAGCGUAAUAGCUCACUGGUCGAGUCGGCCUGCGCGGAAGAUGUAACGGGGCUAAACCAUGCACCGAAGCUGCGGCAGCGACGCUUAUGCGUUGUUGGGUAGGGGAGCGUUCUGUAAGCCUGCGAAGGUGUGCUGUGAGGCAUGCUGGAGGUAUCAGAAGUGCGAAUGCUGACAUAAGUAACGAUAAAGCGGGUGAAAAGCCCGCUCGCCGGAAGACCAAGGGUUCCUGUCCAACGUUAAUCGGGGCAGGGUGAGUCGACCCCUAAGGCGAGGCCGAAAGGCGUAGUCGAUGGGAAACAGGUUAAUAUUCCUGUACUUGGUGUUACUGCGAAGGGGGGACGGAGAAGGCUAUGUUGGCCGGGCGACGGUUGUCCCGGUUUAAGCGUGUAGGCUGGUUUUCCAGGCAAAUCCGGAAAAUCAAGGCUGAGGCGUGAUGACGAGGCACUACGGUGCUGAAGCGACAAAUGCCCUGCUUCCAUGAAAAGCCUCUAAGCAUCAGGUAACAUCAAAUCGUACCCCAAACCGACACAGGUGGUCAGGUAGAGAAUACCAAGGCGCUUGAGAGAACUCGGGUGAAGGAACUAGGCAAAAUGGUGCCGUAACUUCGGGAGAAGGCACGCUGAUAUGUAGGUGAAGUCCCUUGCGGAUGGAGCUGAAAUCAGUCGAAGAUACCAGCUGGCUGCAACUGUUUAUUAAAAACACAGCACUGUGCAAACACGAAAGUGGACGUAUACGGUGUGACGCCUGCCCGGUGCCGGAAGGUUAAUUGAUGGGGUUAGCGGUAACGCGAAGCUCUUGAUCGAAGCCCCGGUAAACGGCGGCCGUAACUAUAACGGUUCUAAGGUAGCGGAAUUCCUUGUCGGGUAAGUUCCGACCUGCACGAAUGGCGUAAUGAUGGCCAGGCUGUCUCCACCCGAGACUCAGUGAAAUUGAACUCGCUGUGAAGAUGCAGUGUACCCGCGGCAAGACGGAAAGACCCCGUGAACCUUUACUAUAGCUUGACACUGAACAUUGAGCCUUGAUGUGUAGGAUAGGUGGGAGGCUUUGAAGUGUGGACGCCAGUCUGCAUGGAGCCGACCUUGAAAUACCACCCUUUAAUGUUUGAUGUUCUAACGUUGGCCCCUAAUCGGGGUUGCGGACAGUGUCUGGUGGGUAGUUUGACUGGGGCGGUCUCCUCCCAAAGCGUAACGGAGGAGCACGAAGGUUAGCUAAUCCUGGUCGGACAUCAGGAGGUUAGUGCAAUGGCAUAAGCCAGCUUGACUGCGAGCGUGACGGCGCGAGCAGGUGCGAAAGCAGGUCAUAGUGAUCCGGUGGUUCUGAAUGGAAGGGCCAUCGCUCAACGGAUAAAAGGUACUCCGGGGAUAACAGGCUGAUACCGCCCAAGAGUUCAUAUCGACGGCGGUGUUUGGCACCUCGAUGUCGGCUCAUCACAUCAUGGGGCUGAAGUAGGUCCCAAGGGUAUGGCAGUUCGCCAUUUAAAGUGGUACGCGAGCUGGGUUCAGAACGUCGUGAGACAGUUCGGUCCCUAUCUGCCGUGGGCGCUGGAGAACUGAGGGGGGCUGCUCCUAGUACGAGAGGACCGGAGUGGACGCAUCACUGGUGUUCGGGUUGUCAUGCCAAUGGCACUGCCCGGUAGCUAAAUGCGGAAGAGAUAAGUGCUGAAAGCAUCUAAGCACGAAAC
rnacentral:rRNA from 1 species